GACCUUCAUUAAAUUAUACGUUCACGUACAAUUAGGUUCCCGCGAUGGUUAAUAAUAACGUACGUGUAGUCCUACAUUUUAGCCACGGUCGUUUUAUGUGGAGACAGCCAAGACGGGACCAAACCGGCCAUAGAAAGGAAGGAGGAACAACACCUCACGUGGGCUAGACUAAGAUUAUUAGGAGGGGACGAGUACACCGAGCAAACCAGUCGCACCAGCGGCGCACACUUCAGACCACCGAAGCACACUGUAGGGCUCGUCACGAAUCGCUGCGCACGUGCAUGACAGACCACACGAAUGUGCACCAGAUAAAAAUAGGAAACAUUUUCGGACUUAGAAGUAGAGCAAAAGUCAAAGGGAACGUGUUUUGUCAGAGGGUAUAUGGUCCGCGGGCUCGCCGCUCUCACGAGCGUCCUCGAGCUUGGGCUGGGGGGCGUGCCUCUAGACUUCGUCGUCGUCCUGGAGCGGCCUGCGUCGUCGACGUGGUGUUCAGGUUUGUUACCGCGGCGGGAGUACUUUGUACCUUCGUCUCCGAUUGGGAACGCCGCCGCCACCGCACAGAAAGGUCACGAGGGGGAACGCCGGAAGGGUCUGAACCACAAGCGAACCACAACCACCUGUCAGCUCCUCCUGGUAGAGGGCGUGACCGGAGGGGACCUGCGCGCGUCGGCCGCCGAGGCAGCCCAGGUUGUCACCAG
rnacentral:rRNA from 1 species